rnacentral:rRNA from 1 species
UACUACCCUCCGUGUGCUCGUCGAGUCUCAGAUCGAUGAAGAACGCAGCGAAAUGCGAUACGUAAUGUGAAUUGCAGAAUUCAGUGAAUCAUCGAAUCUUUGAACGCACCUUGCGCCCCUUGGUAUUCCGAGGGGCACACCCGUUUGAGUGUCGUGAAAAUCUCAACCUUCUCGGUUUCUUCUGAACACCGAAGGAGGCUUGGACUUUGGAGGCCUUUGCUGGCGUCUCUCACCAGCUCCUCUCAAACGAAUUAGCGGGGUCCUCUUUGCCGAUCCUCGACAUGUGAUAAGAUGUUUCCAUGUCUUGGCUUUAUGGCUCUGUUGCCUUUGGGACCCGCUUCUAACCGUCUCAGCGAGACAACGUUCGAGCGUGUCUCCCCUCUCGGGGAAACGCUCUUGAACCCACGAAACCUUGACCUCAAAUCGGGUGAGACUACCCGCUGAACUUAA